GGGGAGUUCCCGUCGUGGCUCAGUGGUUAACGAAUCCAACUAGGAACCAUGAGGUUGAGGGUUCAAUCACUGGCCCCGUUCAGUGGGUUAAGGAUCCGUGAGCUGUGGUGUAGGUUGCAGACACAGCUCGGAUCCAGCGUUGCUGUGGCUCCGGUGUAGGCUGGCAGCUACAGCUCCGAUUAGACCUCCUAGCCUGGGAACCUCCACAUGCUGUGGAUGUGGCCCCAGAAAAGACCGAAACAAAACAAAACAAAACAAAACAAAACAAAAAUAACCAAAAGCCUUUAGGGAGUUUCCUUUGUGGCUCAGCAGUCAAUGAACCUAAGAUCCACGAGGAUGUGGGUUUGAUCCCUGGCCUCGCUCAGUGAGUGGGUUAAGGAUCUGGUGUUGCCGUGAGCUGUGGUGUAGGUUGCAGAUGUGGCUCAGAUCCUGCAUUGCUGUGGCUGUGGUAUAGGCCAAUGGCUACAGCUCUGAUUUGACCUCUAGCCUGGGAGCUUCUAUAUGCCCCAGGUGUUGCCCUAAGAAGCCAACCAAAAAAAAGAAAAAAAAAAAAAAAGCCUUUAAUCCAUCGCCACCAGAGUUCCCGUCGUGGCUCAGUGGUUAACGAAUCUGACUAGGAACUAUGAGGUUGCAGGUUUGAUCCCUGGCCUUGCUCACUGGGUUAAGGAUCUGGGCAUUGCUGUGAGCUGUGGUGUAGGUCGCAGACGCGGCUUGGAUCUGUGCUGUGGCUCUGGUGGAGGCCAGUGGCUAUAGCUUCGAUUGGACCCCUAGCCUGGGAACCUCCAUAUGCCGCGGGAGCGGCCCUCAAAAGGCAAAAACACACACAAAAAUAAAUAAAUAAAAUAAAAUCUAUCGCCACCAUCAAAAUUGAGUUAUUUUAGUAAACCUUGAUGUCUGGCUUCUCUCUCAAACUGAAAGAUGUGGCCAUCCUAAGCCCUCAUUCCUGAGGCAAAAAGUCAUCUCCCAGUUCACAGCAGCCCUCCUGGGCCCUUGCAAGAUUUGACCCCUUAAGUCAGAAGCCGCCUUGUCCUGGCUGCAGGACCCCACCAUGAACACCUAGGCUAGGCAACCUUGAGGACACAUCCUGGACCCUAGCUCAUCCUCGGUAAAACAUGCGCUGGUAGCGUGGAUGCGUUAGUCCUCCAGGUAUGGGACAGGGGGUGGUGGUUGUGUACCCCCCGCAACCCCCGCCCAUUGCAGCGUCCCCCUGCACCAAGAGCGCACGGUCAGCUCAGAAGUGGUCGGUCCCUGCCCAGAGGCCACAUUUGCCUGCGCUUCCACCCCAGCCCUGCCCCCCACCCCCGACCCCGCCCGCACACGUCUGCAGGGCGCGGGCGCCCUCUGCUGGUCCACAGCGGGCACGCAAGCUAGAGCCAGAACCCAGGCACCUGGAGGGAGUACCUGGGAGGUUUCUCUGCGGUGGAAUGGGGUGAUUUAACAGUAGCUAAGUAACGUUUACUGAGGGUUUGCUCUGUGCUGAGGAUUGUGAGAAUCUCACUACACGUAAAACCUCACGUAAUUCUUAGAACAAUCCUGUGAAGUGGAUACAGAGAGGCCCGUGGCCACACAGCUGGUAGACGUGGAAGUGGGUUGGCGCACCUGACUCCAGGGCCUGCGCUGGCACCCCCUGAGAUGGAGAGGUUACCUGAAGAUCUCACCUCCGCUCACUCACAGGACCCUCGUGGCUGGUGAAGGUGGCCACUUACUGGCUGACCUGGCCAAGCCACACACAAACCACUGGUCGGUCUAUGCUUCCAAUGAGAAUCUCAGACAGUAAGAACUCCUUCGCUUGAGGCACAUUUACUAAUCAGUAGGAGAAAGUAAUGAAGAUGACAUAAUUGAGGGUGGAAGAAGGCUUUUCAACUUAAGACAACCUUGCACGUAAAAUGCACGUGAAACUAUAAAGUAGUUCAGCUGAAAGAUGGGCAAAUAAGAGGUAUAAGAGAAAGGGAGAGGAGAAGCUGUCCUACAUUGCUGGUAGGAAGGUAAGUUGAUAUGACUUUGGGAGGCAACUUGAAAAUGACAAAGCUGGAGUUCCCGUCAUGGUGCAGCGGAAACGAAUCCGACUAGGAACCAUUAGGUUGUGGGUUCGAUCCCUGGCCUCGCUCAGUGGGUUAAGGAUCCAGAGUUGCUGUGAGCUGUGUAGGUUGCAGAUGUGGCUCGGAUCUGGCGAUGCUGUGGCUGUGGUGGAGGCCAGUGGCUACAGCUCCGAUUAGACCCCUAGCCUGGGAACCUCCAUAUGCCGCAGGUCGGCCCUCAAAAGACAAAAGAAAAAAAAAAAUGACAAAGCUAAACAUGCCCAUGUCCUUGAACAGGGCAGUCCACACUUCCAGGACUUUUUGUCUUUCUUAGAGCCGCAUCUGUGGCAUAUGGAGGUGCCCAGGCUAGGGGUCUAAUUGGAGCUGUAGCUGCUGGCCUACGCCAGAGCCACAGCAACUCGGGAUCCGAGCUGAGUCUGUGCCCUACAUCACAGCUCACGGCAACGCCGGACCCUUAACCCACUGAGUGAGGCCAGAGAUUGAACCCGCAUCCUCAUGGAUCCUAGUCGGGUUUGUUAACCGCUGAGCCACGAAGGGAACUCCUUAAAUUUUUUUUUUUUUUUUUUUUUUUGGCUGCGCCUGCAGCAGGUGUAAGUUCCUGGGCCAGGGAUUAAACCUGCACCACAGCAGUGACCCAAGCCACAGGAGGCAACGCCAGGUCCUUAACUGCUAGGAUCCUCAACCAGGGAACUUUAGCAGGUUAAUUUCUUUAGCAGGGGAUGUCCGAUGGUUUCCAUCCUUCACUGCCAGGGUGGCCACCACCUCUGUCCUUAUCACCCCUGACAAGACACCCUACUUCUCAAUCCAAUCUAAAAUGGACACUUUCACAUCUUAACAUUUCUGGAACUGGGGCAUUCCUCAGAAACAGGAGUGUCUUACCCUUAUGAUUGGCAGCGUUUUUUCCUGGCCAGUGUACAUAAAAUAAAGCAUCUCACAGCAGACAGCGUCUCAGACUCAAUGAAACGUGGGUCUGUUUCCCAUGGAUCCUGCGGCAACUCUGCAUUACUUGGCACCUUCUACCUGUGUCACAGGUGGUGCUGCCCGGGCUCUGAGGACCCACCACCUGUCCCCAGGCAGAGCUUCCAGGACUGCAGGCUUCCCAAAAGUCAAAGGCUACCAAGAUGAAAAUCUUGGGACAAGGUACAGCUGGUGACAGAGCCUCAUUGUUCAGAGAAUUCAACUGUGGCCUGCAAACUGCGAUGGUACUUUCUUCUACGUGGGAAUGAAAAGAAGUUGUCAGUUUGACACACUAACGUUAGGAGAUUUCACAUAAAAAUCUGUAUCAGAAAGAUUACACCUAAAAUUAGUAUGAUACAAAUGAACUACAUUUCAAUUAAAAAAAAAAAAAAAGACUGGGGUCCCCUGGUGACCUGGUGGUUAAAAACUUGGUGUGGUUGGAGUUCCCACUGUGGCUCAGUGGAAAUGAAUCUGACUAGCAUCCAUGAGGACACAGGUUCGAUCCUUGGUCUUGCUCAGUGGGUUAAGGAUAACGGCAUUGCUGUGAGCUGUGGUAUGGGUCGGAGAUGUGGCUCGGAUCCUGCGUUGCUGUGGCUGUGGUGUAGGUGGAUGACUACAGCUCUGAUUCAACCCCUAACCUGGGUACCUCCAUAUGC
rnacentral:lncRNA from 1 species